rnacentral:rRNA from 1 species
UACGAAGGGGGCUAGCGUUGUUCGGAUUUACUGGGCGUAAAGCGCACGUAGGCGGGUUGUUAAGUCAGGGGUGAAAUCCUGGAGCUCAACUCCAGAACUGCCUUUGAUACUGGCAACCUAGAGGCUGGAAGAGGUUAGUGGAAUUCCCAGUGUAGAGGUGAAAUUCGUAGAUAUUGGGAAGAACACCAGUGGCGAAGGCGGCUAACUGGUCCAGAUCUGACGCUGAGGUGCGAAAAGCGUGGGGGAGCAAACAGG